rnacentral:rRNA from 1 species
UGAGCAACCUGCCCUUGACCCUGGAAUAACAGCUGGAAACAGCUGCUAAUACCGGAUACGACCUCCGAUGGCAUCAUCUGGAGGUGGAAAGCUCCGACGGUCAAGGAUGGGCUCGCGGCCUAUCAGCUUGUUGGUGAGGUAAUGGCUCACCAAGGCGACGACGGGUAGCCGGCCCGAGAGGGUGACCGGCCACACUGGGACUGAGACACGGCCCAGACUCCUAGGAGG